rnacentral:rRNA from 1 species
CCCUUAGAUGUCCUGGGCCGCACGCGCGCUACACUGAUGCAUGCAACGAGUUUAUAACCUUGGCCUGAAAGGUCUGGGUAAUCUUUUGAACGUGCAUCGUGAUAGGGAUAGAUUAUUGCAAUUGUUAAUCUUGAACGAGGAAUUCCUAGUAAACGCGAGUCAUCAGCUCGCAUUGAUUCCGUCCCUGCCCUUUGUACACACCGCCCGUCGCACCUACCGAUUGAAUGGUUCGGUGAAGAUCUCGGACUUCGAUAUUUAUUCUUUAUUGAGUUUAUAUUGUGGGAAGUUAUCUAAACCUCAUCAUUUAGAGGAAGGUGAAGUCGUAACA